rnacentral:sRNA from 1 species
GUCCCAGACCCGGCCGCCGCACCAGCAGC